rnacentral:rRNA from 1 species
AUGAAUCUCCUGGUGUGGAACUGUCGUGGGGCUGGCAAACCCGCGACAGUUCAAGAGCUUCGUAAUAUGACGAAGCAAUUUGCCCCCUCUAUAGUAUGUAUUUUAGAGACUCAAAUAGAGGGAUCCCGAGUGGAGAGUUUAGCUAAUACACUAGGUUUCAAUAAAUGCUAUGUUGUAAGCAGUUCUGGUAGGAGUGGAGGUCUUGGUAUAUUUUGGAACGAUAUAAUAAAAGUUGAAGUUAUUGGUUAUUCUGAGUAUCAUAUCAAUGUGAUAGUGGAUGAUUUUGUUGGGGAACGUAGCAGAAAUUCAAAAUUUUCCUACGUGUCACCAAGAUCUAUCUAUGGAGAAACCAGCAACGAGGGGAAGGAGAGUGCAUCUACAUACCCUUGUAGAUCGCUAUGCGGAAGCAUUCAAGAGAACGGGGUUGAAGGAGUCGUACUCGUCGUGAUCCAAAUCACCGGAGAUCCUAGUGCCGAACGGACGGCACCUCCGCGUUCAACACACGUACAGCCCGGUGACGUCUCACAUGCCUUGAUCCAGCAAGGAGAGAGGGAGAGGUUGAAGAAGACUCCAUCCAGCAACAGCACAACGGCAUGGUGA